CAACCAACACAAAAUUUUGAACAAAAAAAAAAUACAACCAACACAAACAAAUAUUUCAAAUUCCUAUCAAUUCUAUUUCCAUUCAUCUUCUCUCCACCAAAGAAUUCAAAAAAAUAAUUAAAGCUUCUACUCUAUCACCUGUUGUUUCUACAUUUUUUUGUUGAAAGAAUUCAAAAGACAAUCAAAGAUUCUACCUAUCACCUCUUGUUUCCAUAUUCUUUUGUUGAAAGACCACCAAAAUUCAAGAAUCGACACUGUCACUCACCAAUCGAUCUUGUGAUUCCAAAUAUCAUUUUUCACAAUGUUCCACUCAAAUUCGUCACAUGAGCUUCAGUCUCAUCCCCUCCAAGCAUCUUUGCCAUCUUUGGAGUCAUGUCUUUGUCCAGCAAUAUAUUUCCCGGUUUUAGAUUUAAGUGAAUGAUCCUAAACCGAGAAGCUUGGUGGAGAUAUACAAGCCCUCGGACAAUAUCAACGGUUAUGUCGAAUCUCUGCUACCAAUUCAGAACGGAGCCCCGAGUUGAGGUUGACUUUUCGUCUCUUGGCUGAUGCACUUUUAUAAUAUAUCUACGUGUGAAUUAAACAUCUCAGACAUAACAUAUGUUAAUUUAAAUAUCGAGAAUUCAGCAAAAAAAAAAAAAACCAAAAUUUUCAAAAUUUACCAAAAAAACACGAAUUUAUGGACUCAACUUUUGUUGACUUUUGGAAAAUUUUAACGUCAUGAACAACACGUACGUUUUGAAAUUCUUAUUUUAAAAAAAAACUACAUCAUUAAACUUCGAACUCGGGUUCUGGGAAUGCAAAAUAAAGAAUUUUACCACUGAACUAGUGGCAACUUUCAAAAAUUAAUGUAAUGUACAUGAUUUUAUAUGUGUACACGGAAUUAAAGAAAAUACCUGCAAUCUACGAAACUAACAAAAUCGAGAGAAAAAUCCCCAAAUCUGGCAAAGAGUACAAAUCGAAAGAAAUUAGUUUCAAUAGAAAAAUCAAUCGAGUAGAUUAAAAUGAGAAACAACGUGAUCUGUUAAAAUCUAUGAAUUGAAGGUUGAAAAGAAAAAAAAAAAUCGAUAUGCUUGCUCUACGCCAAAGUCUUCUUCUCUCGACGUCGGCAAGGUCUGAUUUUGGUAAAGUGGAUAAAGUCUGAUUUUUUUCUUCUUUUAAUUCCGUGUUUUCAUAUAUUAAAUACUACUAUAUUACGUUGAAGUUUGAAAAUUGCCACUCGUUCAGUGGUAAAAUCCUUUCUCAUGCAUGCCCAGAACCCAAGUUCGAACCUUGCUAAUGUAGUUUUUUUUUUAAAUAAAGUUUGUUAUUAUAUUCCAAAGUCAAUAAAAGUUGAGUGUUUAUUUGGUUAGUCCAUAAAUUCGUAUUUUUUUGGUAAAUUUUGAAAAGUUUGGGUUUUUUUGGCUGAAUUAUCUUUAAAUCUCUCACAUACUCCGACAUAACAUAUGUUCUUUUCUUUAACAAAAAAAAACAUAUGUUUUUUUAUUAUUUUAAAUAAAAUAUCUACGUGUGAAUUUAAUUAUCUCAGACACAACAUAUGUUAGUUCGUUCAGACUUUAAUUCUUAAUGCAAGGUUCCUUAGUUCACCCUUUAAUUUUUAACACACUUAUGCUAGUCUUGUGCUCCAUGCGUGGCCAUCCUUCCAUGUAGAGAAAAAGAAGAAAAAAUCAAUUUUAAGAAAACCAAAUCAUCUAUAUAAUAUUGAUAUGUUUUCGUGAUUGGUCACAAUGUCAAAUUAAAUCUCAAAAUCCCUUUUAACUUUUUAAGACAUUUUAGUUAUAUUUUACAUGUUAAUUAUGUUAAUUAGUCUCAUUAAGUCAUUAAUCAUUACUAUAAUAUAUAUUUAAGAACAGAUGGAUAUAAAACUGGAACAAAUAUGUAUUAUGCUUACAAAUCUUUUUUAUCCGCUAUACACAUUAGGCCUGGGCAUAAAAACCAUACCCGAAUACCCAAUCCGGAACCCGACCCGAAAAACAGGGUUUGGGUUGGGUACGGGUUUGUCUUUAAAACCCUAUUGGGUUCUAUUUUCUAAUACCCGUAAGUUCGGGUUAGGAUCGGGUAAUACCCAGUACCUGUUUGGGUACCCAUUAAACCCGAACAUAUAAACAUAUUUAUAAUAUUUAUCAUUAAUAUAAUGCAA